AUGGUUUUUAUAGCACCUCUUCGCCAGAUGUCAUCGGGGAGUGUUCCUGGCUCUUCUGGAGAGACCAUGAUGUACUAUCUCCUUGCUGGUGUUGCUGCUUUUGGUGGUUUAUUUUAUGCCUACAGAGUAGUCAGUUCAUCCCGCAGCAAAUAUAUUGAACAUAUGAAUAUUCUUCACGAGAGAGCUGAGGGGCGGAGGUCACGCAGGGGUGAUGAAGAAGAGACGGCUGAAGUCCCUGAAGCAGAGACAGCCACGGAAGAGGCUGCUGCAGCAGCUGCUGCUGGACCUGCAGCACAGGAUGAGAGUGCUGGGGUGUCCCCAGAAACUGGAGGGGAGACUGACUUACCGGCUCCAGAUGCAUCCCCUGCUGUGGAGGAAGCACAGCAGGAAGCUGCUGCUAAUUUGGAAGUUGCUGCUAAUUCAGAAGCUGCUGCAGUGCAAGAAACUGUGAGUGAAGUCUUGGAUGUUGCAGCUUCUCCCCACGAGGAAAGCUUAGACAGUGUCAAGGAAGGAGUAUCCUCAGAAGCUCAAGAGAUUUCCGAGACAUCCUCGAGGAGCCAGGACGUUGACGCUGAGGAGUCGGGACAACCUUCGGAAGUUUCUGUGGAGGAGAAGACACCUGAAGAAGUUGCUAAGGAAUCCUAAAGCAAGCAGUGCUGAAGCCUUUGAAAAGUUUAAUGGGAAUAUUCGUGGCAAUCAACCAGCUGACUCCUGUGUGAAAGAAACCUCAUACUCUUCCUUGGAGACCUAAAAGAAUUGUGCAGUUUGUCACACCGCACGCUGCUCCUUAGGACCAGUAUUCAUUGCUGCAACUGACAACCUAAUACCAUUUAAGUUGGUUAGAGAGACGCUUCUGUGAUUAACAUCUCUGCUUUAGGAAGUAGCAGCCAGUAAUAACUGUCAAAGCACGACCCGGCAUGUAAUAAAUAGACGUGCUGAGAGAAGCUGUAGACUUAA
rnacentral:lncRNA from 1 species